CACGGGGUGCUCGCUCAAAGCACACAUGCACUAACCUGACAAUUGCCGCCAUGUACGACAGCCGCUCCGCCACGUUCCGAAACCGCCGCCGUUCCUCAUGUCGUCGGGGAAGUACUGGUCCAGGAGGUCCCUUACCGCUGGUUUGUACCCCGCCACGAACAGCUCCGAAACCAUUUCUCCUCCAGUCCACGUAAGACCAACUGACCAACAACCAUGUUGACGCGUGCAUUGUGCGAUUGUAAACCCGUGCAUAUACGUAGAGAUGCGUGCUGUAUGUUUUGCUUCACAUUGCUGUUGUUUGUGUUGGCACCCAUGUGACCAUACAACAGGCUUCCCUUCUGCACGCUGCUGGCCACUGGCGCGGCUUGCUUAUGGCUCGGAUGGAAUGGCGGUGGCUGGAUUGAUGGGUGCCGUGGCAUACUGGCA
rnacentral:lncRNA from 1 species